rfam:Strongylocentrotus purpuratus Contig106700_fixed, whole genome shotgun sequence.
CUAAAGGCUCUUUUAAGAAGCCACACAAAUUGCCAAGAAAGAUACA